rnacentral:misc_RNA from 1 species
AUUAAUUGACACUACCAUGUUCAAUAAUUAUGGACCAAAUCAAGGAAACAAAGAAAACCACAUACUACAAUCCCUCUUCACAAUUCAACAAAAAAGGAUACAUCUUGCAUUUCUUUAGGUAAAUGUUCCAUUAUCAUGCCCAUGAUACACGCAUCCACAUUCAGAACAUCUAGAACAAUGAGUAUCUAAUCAAUCUAUUUUUCUUAUUUUCCUUUUCCUUUCAUUCUAUGCAUUUUACAACAGAGGAACAGCAAAUUUUAUCACCCCAAAAUUAUCAGCCAGUAGAAUUAAUUAGUGUAUAAAUGCACGCUAGAACCAUCCAGCCCCAGAUGAAAACUUUUGAGAUCACAAUGGCUGAAGCUCUCGUUCAGGAACAACACCAACACGCUCAUACUUACCAAGUGCUCGUUGUCUAUGUCUCCAUACCAUCCAUAUGCCAAUACCUGAUAAACAAACAAGCAGGGCUGACAAAAGUCCAAUUGCCACUACUACGAAGUGUUUCUGCCACCAUGUCAGCUUUCUUUGAGGCUCAAUCUUCCAUU